AACAAAGUAAGCUAAAUUUU
rnacentral:tRNA from 1 species